ACACAUGCAAGUCGAACGGAAAGGCCCUUCGGGGUACUCGAGUGGCGAACGGGUGAGUAACACGUGGGUGAUCUGCCCUGCACUUUGGGAUAAGCCUGGGAAACUGGGUCUAAUACCGGAUAGGACCACGCGCUUCAUGGUGUGUGGUGGAAAGCUUUUGCGGUGUGGGAUGGGCCCGCGGCCUAUCAGCUUGUUGGUGGGGUAAUGGCCUACCAAGGCGACGACGGGUAGCCGGCCUGAGAGGGUGACCGGCCACACUGGGACUGAGAUACGGCCCAGACUCCUACGGGAGGCAGCAGUGGGGAAUAUUGCACAAUGGGCGCAAGCCUGAUGCAGCGACGCCGCGUGAGGGAUGACGGCCUUCGGGUUGUAAACCUCUUUCAAUAGGGACGAAGCGCAAGUGACGGUACCUAUAGAAGAAGGACCGGCCAACUACGUGCCAGCAGCCGCGGUAAUACGUAGGGUCCGAGCGUUGUCCGGAAUUACUGGGCGUAAAGAGCUCGUAGGUGGUUUGUCGCGUUGUUCGUGAAAACUCACAGCUUAACUGUGGGCGUGCGGGCGAUACGGGCAGACUAGAGUACUGCAGGGGAGACUGGAAUUCCUGGUGUAGCGGUGGAAUGCGCAGAUAUCAGGAGGAACACCGGUGGCGAAGGCGGGUCUCUGGGCAGUAACUGACGCUGAGGAGCGAAAGCGUGGGGAGCGAACAGGAUUAGAUACCCUGGUAGUCCACGCCGUAAACGGUGGGUACUAGGUGUGGGUUUCCUUCCUUGGGAUCCGUGCCGUAGCUAACGCAUUAAGUACCCCGCCUGGGGAGUACGGCCGCAAGGCUAAAACUCAAAGGAAUUGACGGGGGCCCGCACAAGCGGCGGAGCAUGUGGAUUAAUUCGAUGCAACGCGAAGAACCUUACCUGGGUUUGACAUGCACAGGACGCCGGCAGAGAUGUCGGUUCCCUUGUGGCCUGUGUGCAGGUGGUGCAUGGCUGUCGUCAGCUCGUGUCGUGAGAUGUUGGGUUAAGUCCCGCAACGAGCGCAACCCUUGUCUCAUGUUGCCAGCACGUUAUGGUGGGGACUCGUGAGAGACUGCCGGGGUCAACUCGGAGGAAGGUGGGGAUGACGUCAAGUCAUCAUGCCCCUUAUGUCCAGGGCUUCACACAUGCUACAAUGGCCGGUACAAAGGGCUGCGAUGCCGUGAGGUGGAGCGAAUCCUUUCAAAGCCGGUCUCAGUUCGGAUCGGGGUCUGCAACUCGACCCCGUGAAGUCGGAGUCGCUAGUAAUCGCAGAUCAGCAACGCUGCGGUGAAUACGUUCCCGGGCCUUGUACACACCGCCCGUCACGUCAUGAAAGUCGGUAACACCCGAAGCCGGUGGCCUAACCCUUGUGGAGGGAGCCGUCGAAG
rnacentral:rRNA from 1 species